CGGGCGGGGACUUGCAAACUCGCGUGUCCUUGGCCGCGGCGGAGCGCGCCCUGCCCCGCCCGGCCCACUGCGGCCGCCGAGUUCUCCACAACUCCGCAGUCCGCCGCCGCGGGCGCCACUCUCGGGCUGACCCCCGGCCGGACCCAGUGACCCUGCGCCCCGAGCUGGCUGGAGAUGCGGGAAGAAAGCUACGUUGCCUUUGGAACCUCUAAAGUCGGGAGAGACAUUCCAAUUUCCCUUCUGGCCUGGAGGAACACAAGCUUAAUGUAGCUUGCAGGAAGCCUGAUUUCAGCUAGCUUUAACACCCCCAGAAGGAGUUCAAAUGUGAAAGAACAGCACUUUCCCUUUUAGGAGGCCCAUCUUAUCACAGACAACAGGGACAGGUUCUUUACUGCAAGUGCCACCUGAGAAGGCCAAAGUCAACUUCACCCAAAUCUUAAUCUGAGACCAGUGAACACAACUUCCCACAGGGAAGAUCACAGGGAAGAUCAGAGAGCAGCGACCAGCGGAAGAUGGAAUGGAUCCCGGGCAGACAAAGCCAACAGAUGGGCGUUGAUAGAUCCAGGACUAAAUGAAAACAGGGCUCCACAAACACGGAGAAGGAGUCCUCAUUGAGAGCAAAGACUUCCAUUUAUCUACAGAGAGAGAAUGAUACAAUGAUAUCAAAAUGCACCCACUUUUCAGCCAUUCAAGAAGGAAAAGAUUUGAAUGAGAAGUCCCAGUGCUAACUGUCAACCCUGAUCAAACAAGCUGCCCUGGAGACAGACCCACACAGCAAGGAACUAAGGAUGUCCUCUAGCCAAUGGUCAGCGAGGAACUGAGACUCUGCUCAGUAGCCCACAGGAAACUGAAUCCUCCCAACCACCAUGUGAGAGAGCGUGGGAGGCGGGACCCUCUGAAUUCCAGCCUUAAGAUGACUGCAGCCCCAGCCUGCGGCACACGGGAUCUUAGCUCCUCGACCAAGAAUCAAACCCACACCCUCUGCAUUGGAAGACUAUUUAUCAAGAAACCUAAAGACAAGAACCAAUCUAGGAAGUUCCUGUACAACCUAAAGGAUAGAAAUCAGUUGGCUGCUGAACACGCAAUUUGAACUGAGUUCACACAUCUGCUCUUAAACAGGAAAGCCUCCUCUCUUCCACCAGACCACCAGCCAGCCAGCAUGAAUUAUGGGCAGGGGUCCAUGAUUUCCCACCUUACUCCCUGGAGGCCUGGCUCAGGGGUACAGUUCAACUAUUUCUCAGUGUUACACCCUCCACAAAGCCAUCCAUCCUUUGAAGAUUUACUGAGCAUUCAUCCUGUGCCAGGCGCUGAGCUGAGCAUCUGGGACUCAGAGGACAGGAAGAUACAGUCCCAUGAUUAGAAGAGAAGCCUUUCUUCAGUGUGAGCGUUCCCGCCUGGCUCCUGCUACCAUAUGAUCUACAUCUCUUGGGGCAGCUUCCCUUCCCAC
ensembl:lncRNA